AGCAGCGUGGCUUAAUGGAAAGAGCACGGGCUUGGGAGUCAGAGGUCACGGGUUCUAAUCCCAACUCUGCUG
rfam:Ornithorhynchus anatinus chromosome 3, whole genome shotgun sequence.